GAAUGAGGCAGCGGGCUGCUCCGCUUGCAACCAGAGGAACGGACAGCGCUGCGCACGAGGCAGGUACCAUCCUCCACGGGGAAGGCAAAAAAAAAGCAGAGGAGAGCGGGGUGCCACACAUGUGACCGCGGAGCUCAGCAGAGAAGACCAUGAGGAUCACAGCCUUCUUCAAGAGCAAAGGUCUCUUGCUGCUGUGAUGUUUUUAGGAGAGGGGCUCCUCCUGGUUGUUUCCAGUUCCCCAUCUCAGCCCUGAUGCUCACUUCAGGUCAGCCCCUCGGGAUCUGGAACCUCAAAGAGAAACCAUCAAGAAACACUAUGUCUGAGACGGAGCAUGUGGCUGAGGUUGGAUCCCCUCAGAGGCUCGCUGUUCUCUUUUUAAUGAAGCAAAGCUGAUAAGAAGGACAAUUGUUCUUUUUUUUUUCCCUUUAAAGAGACAUUCAUGAACCAUAAGUGGAAAUUAAGUGGGAAGGGGACUGAAAUACUCUGAGCAGGUAUUUCCCUUCAUUCCCUGUUAAAAAGGUGGGAUAUUUAGCUGUGGGAGAGUCCGAGUGAGUACUCAGUUACUUAUGGAAAGAUGGAGGCAGGAGCAGAGGCUAGCCCACAACAGCACCAGAGGAGGAAGCCUGUGCUGCAUGGAUUGGAGGACCAGAAAAGG
ensembl:lncRNA